rnacentral:rRNA from 1 species
GGGAGUAGCUUGCUACUCUGCCGGCGAGCGGCGGACGGGUGAGUAAAGUCUGGGGAUCUGGCUUAUGGAGGGGGAUAACCAUUGGAAACGGUGGCUAAUACCGCAUGAUGUCGCAAGACCAAAGUGGGGGACUUUAGGGCCUCACGCCAUAAGAUGAACCCAGAUGAGAUUAGCUAGUAGGUGCGGUAAUGGCGUACCUAGGCGACGAUCUCUAGCUGGUCUGAGAGGAUGACCAGCCACACUGGAACUGAGAGACGGUCCAGACUCCUACGGGAGGCAGCAGUGGGGAAUAUUGCACAAUGGGCGGAAGCCUGAUGCAGCCAUGCCGCGUGUGUGAAGAAGGCCUUAGGGUUGUAAAGCACUUUCAGCGGGGAGGAAGGCGGUAAGAGUAAUAUGCUUAUCGAUUGACGUUACCCGCAAAAGAAGCACCGGCUAACUCCGUGCCAGCAGCCGCGGUAAUACGGAGGGUGCGAGCGUUAAUCGGAAUAACUGGGCGUAAAGGGCAUGUAGGCGGUAAGUUAAGUCAGAUGUGAAAUCCCCGAGCUUAACUUGGGAACGGCAUUUGAGACUGGCUGGCUAGAGUUUUGUAGAGGGGGGUAGAAUUCCAGGUGUAGCGGUGAAAUGCGUAGAGAUCUGGAGGAAUACCGGUNGCGAAGGCGGCCCCCUGGACAAGGACUGACGCUGANGUGCGAAAGCGUGGGUAGCAAACAGGAUUAGAUACCCUGGUAGUCCACGCUGUAAACGAUGUCGAUUUGGAGGUUGUGGCCUAGUGUUAUGGCGUCCGAAGCUAACGCGAUAAAUCGACCGCCUGGGGAGUACGGCCGCAAGGUUAAAACUCANUGAAUUGACGGGGCCCGCACAAGCGGUGGAGCAUGUGGUUUAUUC